UCAUUAGUUUUUUAAUUAAAGGCUUGUAUGAAUGGUUGGACAAAGAAUGAGCUGUUUCUAUUUUUAUUUUUGAAUUUAACUUUUAAGUGAAAAGGCUUGAAUAAACUUAAGGGACGAUAAGACCCUAUAAAUCUUUAUAUUAAAUUAUUUUUAAUUAAUUAAUAUUGUAAAUAUAAAUAUAAAAUAAUAUAUAUUAUAUUGGGGUGAUAAGAAUAUAAUAAUUAACUGUUCUAAAAUUAAAACAAAAUUAUUUGUAAUUAAUAAUAGAUCCUUUUUAGAGAUUAAAAGUUUAAGUUACUUUAGGGAUAACAGCGUUAUUUUUUUUGAGAGUUCUUAUCGAAAAAAAAGUUUGCGACCUCGAUGUUGAAUUAAAAUUUCUUUAUGGUGCAGAAGUUAUAAAAGAGAGUCUGUUCGACUUUU
rnacentral:rRNA from 1 species